GUGAAGCCAAGCUUGCUAUUGGUGGCAGUGGCGAACGGGUGAGUAACACGUGAGCAACCUGCCCUGGACUCUGGGAUAAGCGCUGGAAACGGCGUCUAAUACUGGAUAUGAGCUCCUUCCGCAUGGUGGGGGUUGGAAAGAUUUUUCGGUCUGGGAUGGGCUCGCGGCCUAUCAGCUUGUUGGUGAGGUAAUGGCUCACCAAGGCGUCGACGGGUAGCCGGCCUGAGAGGGUGACCGGCCACACUGGGACUGAGACACGGCCCAGACUCCUACGGGAGGCAGCAGUGGGGAAUAUUGCACAAUGGGCGGAAGCCUGAUGCAGCAACGCCGCGUGAGGGAUGACGGCCUUCGGGUUGUAAACCUCUUUUAGCAGGGAAGAAGCGAAAGUGACGGUACCUGCAGAAAAAGCGCCGGCUAACUACGUGCCAGCAGCCGCGGUAAUACGUAGGGCGCAAGCGUUAUCCGGAAUUAUUGGGCGUAAAGAGCUCGUAGGCGGUUUGUCGCGUCUGCUGUGAAAUCCCGAGGCUCAACCUCGGGCCUGCAGUGGGUACGGGCAGACUAGAGUGCGGUAGGGGAGAUUGGAAUUCCUGGUGUAGCGGUGGAAUGCGCAGAUAUCAGGAGGAACACCGAUGGCGAAGGCAGAUCUCUGGGCCGUAACUGACGCUGAGGAGCGAAAGGGUGGGGAGCAAACAGGCUUAGAUACCCUGGUAGUCCACCCCGUAAACGUUGGGAACUAGUUGUGGGGACCAUUCCACGGUUUCCGUGACGCAGCUAACGCAUUAAGUUCCCCGCCUGGGGAGUACGGCCGCAAGGCUAAAACUCAAAGGAAUUGACGGGGACCCGCACAAGCGGCGGAGCAUGCGGAUUAAUUCGAUGCAACGCGAAGAACCUUACCAAGGCUUGACAUAUACGAGAAUGGGCCAGAAAUGGUCAACUCUUUGGACACUCGUAAACAGGUGGUGCAUGGUUGUCGUCAGCUCGUGUCGUGAGAUGUUGGGUUAAGUCCCGCAACGAGCGCAACCCUCGUUCUAUGUUGCCAGCACGUAAUGGUGGGAACUCAUGGGAUACUGCCGGGGUCAACUCGGAGGAAGGUGGGGAUGACGUCAAAUCAUCAUGCCCCUUAUGUCUUGGGCUUCACGCAUGCUACAAUGGCCGGUACAAAGGGCUGCAAUACCGUAAGGUGGAGCGAAUCCCAAAAAGCCGGUCCCAGUUCGGAUUGAGGUCUGCAACUCGACCUCAUGAAGUCGGAGUCGCUAGUAAUCGCAGAUCAGCAACGCUGCGGUGAAUACGUUCCCGGGUCUUGUACACACCGCCCGUCAAGUCAUGAAAGUCGGUAACACCUGAAGCCGGUGGCCCAACCC
rnacentral:rRNA from 1 species